rnacentral:lncRNA from 1 species
AUGUGUUUCCCAGAGACUCUGACAGGGUGCUCAUGGAUGGAGUCUAGAAAGGCUUCUGGGUUUAAUGAUUCUCAGCUGGUGAUACCAUUUUGGGAGAUUACAGAAACUUUCAGAGGUGGGUCCUCACUGGGUGCUGCCUUGAAGAUGAUGUCUCCUCUGCUUCCCAGCUCUUUGCCCUGUCCAGCAUGAGGUUGAAAACCCAGCUUCCGAGAUCAGAGGAUUGCCUUUAAGAAGCAAUUAGAUUAUGAAGAUUUCACUUCAUGGUCAAGACUAAUGACCUUAUAUUUGAGACCCCAGGGAGCUAGUGAGCAUCUCGUGCCAUGUGGAGCUUCAGUGAGAUGAUGUUCUCAGAGGAAGCAGAGGUUCACCAGAUCCUGAAUCUGCAGAGCCUUGAUCUUGACUUUUUUGACUUCCAGAUAGCUGAGAAAUAAAGUUCUGUUGCUUAUAAGACA